rnacentral:rRNA from 5 species
UAAACGACUCUCGGCAACGGAUAUCUCGGCUCACGCAUCGAUGAAGAACGUAGCAAAAUGCGAUACUUGGUGUGAAUUGCAGAAUCCCGUGAACCAUCGAGUUUUUGAACGCAAGUUGCGCCCGAAGCCUUUUGGUCGAGGGCACGUCUGCCUGGGCGUCACGC